CAGGGAUUUAAAGAGUUUUUCUGGCCGUCAAACUUGAUUUUAUACUGCGACUACAGUUCAAGCUGCUUUUUCAUAUUAACUCCUGUGUUUGUAUCUGCCCAGAACCUAUUUGUUCUGGGCUUUUUUU
rnacentral:antisense_RNA from 1 species